GUGAAAUUGUUGAAAGGGAAACGAUUGAAGCCAGUCGUACCUUCGGGUAAUCAGCCUUUUGGGUGUGAUUUUGUGGAGCGUGAAGAGUUAAACGCCUUCAUGCCUGCAUAUUCGUGCACUUUGGGUGUACUUGCCCGUAUGGUUGGUUAACAUCAAUUUUGAUCGUCAUAAAAUGGCUAGAGGAAUGUGGCUUCGAUCUCGUAUUGAAGUGUUAUAGCCUUUGGUAGAUGUGAUGAUUAGGAUUGAGGAUUGCAACGGAUACCCUUCGGGGCUACCUGUCUGAUCUCUGAAAGUUGCCCUGGUGCUGAAAGCUUGCUUAUGGUAUCAAAGUUGACGUUCAAUAGGUUAGAACGGGAUAAAUUCGUUAAGGAUGUUGACGUAAUGGCUUUAAACGAC
rnacentral:rRNA from 1 species